rnacentral:rRNA from 1 species
GAUGAACGCUGGCGGCGUGCCUAAUACAUGCAAGUCGAGCGAGGUAUCGUUUUUGAUUGAAGGUGCUUGCACCUGAUUGAAGAAACAAUUUAUCGAGCGGCGGACGGGUGAGUAACACGUAGGUAACCUACCCUAGAGCGGGGGAUAACAUCUGGAAACAGGUGCUAAUACCGCAUAACAACAAACAUCGCAUGAUGAAUGUUUGAAAGAUGGUUUCGGCUAUCACUCUAGGAUGGACCUGCGGCGUAUUAGUUAGUUGGUGAGGUAACGGCUCACCAAGACGAUGAUACGUAGCCGAACUGAGAGGUUGAUCGGCCACACUGGGACUGAGACACGGCCCAGACUCCUACGGGAGGCAGCAGUAGGGAAUCUUCCACAAUGGACGAAAGUCUGAUGGAGCAACGCCGCGUGAGUGAAGAAGGUUUUCGGAUCGUAAAACUCUGUUGUUGGAGAAGAAUGUACUUGAUAGUAACUGAUCAGGUAGUGACGGUAUCCAACCAGAAAGCCACGGCUAACUACGUGCCAGCAGCCGCCGUAACAC